rnacentral:rRNA from 1 species
UCGGGAAUAUUGGACAAUGGGCGAAAGCCUGAUCCAGCAAUGCCGCGUGAGUGAUGAAGGCCUUAGGGUUGUAAAGCUCUUUUACCAGGGAUGAUAAUGACAGUACCUGGAGAAUAAGCUCCGGCUAACUCCGUGCCAGCAGCCGCGGUAAUACGGAGGGAGCUAGCGUUGUUCGGAAUUACUGGGCGUAAAGCGUACGUAGGCGGUGACUCAAGUCAGAGGUGAAAGCCUGGAGCUCAACUCCAGAACUGCCUUUGAAACUAGGUCGCUAGAAUCACGGAGAGGUGAGUGGAAUUCCGAGUGUAGAGGUGAAAUUCGUAGAUAUUCGGAAGAACACCAGUGGCGAAGGCGGCUCACUGGACGUGUAUUGACGCUGAGGUACGAAAGCGUGGGGAGCAAACAGGAUUAGAUACACCAGUAGUCCCUGAGCGGGCUGGCAAGGCGCAU